GCAAGUUGUUAGUUUGGUUGCUUUCCGGUCGUGAAAUAGACGUCAAAUGACCGUGCUAGGAAAAAAUAAUGCGAACUUUUUCGGUUACAUUUUUUGGUUAUAUAGUAUAAUGUUGUUCUUUAAAGCAAAGUGAUGGAAUGUUGUUGAUUUAACCCGUUAAAAAGUUUGCCACCUCAAAAAUGAGACAAACAAUGCGCUGUGGGCACAGAGUUAAAGAAGAAACACGUGGAAAUGAAGAUACCUGCGGAAAUGAAUACUUUAAAAUUCAAUUAACUCCCUCGAAGCAACGAAGGAAGUGCUUACAUAAAAAGAAGGAAUGUAUAGUGUGUGUAUUGAUGUUUGUGAAAACAAAGAUAAUCAGCAUUUUACAGUGUCGUGUGUUGUUCAGUCUUUUGAAGUUGAAAUUUCUUCUGAUACUAAUGUCGAUUCAGUCAUGGUUUUGUUGGUGAUUAUGUUAAAUAACAGAGACGAACAUGAUGGGAGUUCUUUCUUAAUUGAUCGUUUUAAAAUGGUGCAGAAAAUGUACUGAAUACACAUUGUUCCAGGAUUUUCAUAUUGUUUGGCGGCAGAACAAAAGAUGGAAACCUAAUUUAAUGAAGAAAUACCAAAAGAUUAAUUUUGGCGACUAGCUUGGGUUUACGUGAAGAUUUUAGGCGACAAGUAAUAAGUCGCACGUAAUAGCUUUGGUGUUCCUCACGUAGGCGCGAUAAUAGGAUUAUUUCGCUAUGUUGACAAUGAAGGAAGAAGUGUAAACAGUGGCUGGCUGGUAUGUUAUAAUGUUUCGUUUCGUCAGAAAUAUGUGCAAUGUGAUGUUCAUAAACCGAUUUGAAUUUUAAAUGACGGCAAAUUUCCUUCCAAAUAAUGUGCUUAACCGAAUAUUAUGGCGUACUAUUGGUCUUAUCAAAUGCAUGACGUGUUAUUGAUGUGGGGCAGUGAAAGAGUGAUAGGUAACGGCAGGUCUACACGGCGUUGUGACUUUUCUGCGACCGGGUUUCCGGGAACACGGAAGUGCCAAAGUAAUAAACAAAAUUGCCUAAGUCGGCCAACUCGUACGUCAAAGGUGUUCAGAAGGCAGAAACUCCCGGUCGAAGGAUUAUCGCAGCGCCGUGUAGAACUGCGCUAAGGAAAAAGUGUUAGCUAAUGUGCAACGGAUAAUUUCACCAUUGCAAUUAAAGUUUCCAUGCUCGAGCCGACGAUGUAAAAAAGUGUGAUAACAAGGGCUAAGGAUAUUUUGUUCACCGGUAAGUAGAAGAAGGUAGGUAAGUGUCAAUCAUCAUUACAUCCAGGUAUCAUUGGUAACACUUCAAAUUGAUGCGCAAUGCAAUCACAUUUUUAUUGUUCGGGUGCCAUAAUUAGCGCAUCAUAUUUACCAACAAAAAUUUAUCACUAAGAUGGAGAUGUAUGUAUCACUCGCGUUCAAUAAUUACAAAUUAUUCAUUUAUUUGUUUGAUUGCAUAUUUUUAUUCGGGUUAGAAAAUCAAUUAUGAAUGCUAUUCUGUUAAACUUCCGUACCUUAUCUGUAUGCUCGCAUUAUUCACGUAACUAUACCUUAGUUUGAUUUUAACGAUUUCUCCAACAAAAGAAAAACGGAUGAUCCAUAUGAACAAAAGAAAAGUGUAUGCCAUGUUUGUAGUAAAAUUUCCAGGUUUAUAGUACUUUCAAUAAUUUAAUAGAAGGAUGUUACAAUGUUUGCAAUUCGUUGUGAUGACGAAAACAUAUUGUUUGCGGACAGAUGUACUAUCGAGUACAGCUAUGUCUCUGUACUGUACAUUUUGAUGCUCGUCUAUUUUGAUUAUUUUAUUUAUUAAUAAAUUAGUACAUGUUCGCCAUAGUUGACUUAACACGUUGCUUAUCAAGCGUUUUAGCAUAAUUUUUAGUACAAUUGUUUUAAUGAAAAUUUGUUUAUAACAUUUGUUAAACCGAUUGUUUUCGAAGGCCAAGCAAAAACUUAGCUUCCCAAAAAAUGUAUAUAAAAUAUUCAAAUAAUUUGUAUGUUCCAUUUUCAAUUAUUUAUGGGUGAAAAACUUUUUAGAACCAGAACUGCUACCACCCAUAAUUGGAUGAU